CCGGGUGGCCGCAGCGGGGAGGCCACACCCGUUCCCAUCCCGAACACGGAAGUUAAGCUCCCCAGCGCCGAUGGUACUGCGCCGGCGACGGCGUGGGAGAGUAGGACGCCGCCCGGU
rnacentral:rRNA from 1 species